GAUGAACGCUGGCGGCGUGCCUAAUACAUGCAAGUCGAGCGAACGGACGAGAAGCUUGCUUCUCUGAUGUUAGCGGCGGACGGGUGAGUAACACGUGGAUAACCUACCUAUAAGACUGGGAUAACUUCGGGAAACCGGAGCUAAUACCGGAUAAUAUUUUGAACCGCAUGGUUCAAAAGUGAAAGACGGUCUUGCUGUCACUUAUAGAUGGAUCCGCGCUGCAUUAGCUAGUUGGUAAGGUAACGGCUUACCAAGGCAACGAUGCAUAGCCGACCUGAGAGGGUGAUCGGCCACACUGGAACUGAGACACGGUCCAGACUCCUACGGGAGGCAGCAGUAGGGAAUCUUCCGCAAUGGGCGAAAGCCUGACGGAGCAACGCCGCGUGAGUGAUGAAGGUCUUCGGAUCGUAAAACUCUGUUAUUAGGGAAGAACAUAUGUGUAAGUAACUGUGCACAUCUUGACGGUACCUAAUCAGAAAGCCACGGCUAACUACGUGCCAGCAGCCGCGGUAAUACGUAGGUGGCAAGCGUUAUCCGGAAUUAUUGGGCGUAAAGCGCGCGUAGGCGGUUUUUUAAGUCUGAUGUGAAAGCCCACGGCUCAACCGUGGAGGGUCAUUGGAAACUGGAAAACUUGAGUGCAGAAGAGGAAAGUGGAAUUCCAUGUGUAGCGGUGAAAUGCGCAGAGAUAUGGAGGAACACCAGUGGCGAAGGCGACUUUCUGGUCUGUAACUGACGCUGAUGUGCGAAAGCGUGGGGAUCAAACAGGAUUAGAUACCCUGGUAGUCCACGCCGUAAACGAUGAGUGCUAAGUGUUAAGGGGUUUCCGCCCCUUAGUGCUGCAGCUAACGCAUUAAGCACUCCGCCUGGGGAGUACGACCGCAAGGUUGAAACUCAAAGGAAUUGACGGGGACCCGCACAAGCGGUGGAGCAUGUGGUUUAAUUCGAAGCAACGCGAAGAACCUUACCAAAUCUUGACAUCCUUUGACAACUCUAGAGAUAGAGCCUUCCCCUUCGGGGGACAAAGUGACCGGUGGUGCAUGGUUGUCGUCAGCUCGUGUCGUGAGAUGUUGGGUUAAGUCCCGCAACGAGCGCAACCCUUAAGCUUAGUUGCCAUCAUUAAGUUGGGCACUCUAAGUUGACUGCCGGUGACAAACCGGAGGAAGGUGGGGAUGACGUCAAAUCAUCAUGCCCCUUAUGAUUUGGGCUACACACGUGCUACAAUGGACAAUACAAAGGGCAGCGAAACCGCGAGGUCAAGCAAAUCCCAUAAAGUUGUUCUCAGUUCGGAUUGUAGUCUGCAACUCGACUACAUGAAGCUGGAAUCGCUAGUAAUCGUAGAUCAGCAUGCUACGGUGAAUACGUUCCCGGGUCU
rnacentral:rRNA from 1 species